rnacentral:tRNA from 1 species
GGAGGGUUGGCAGAGUGGUUUAAUGUAACGGUCUUGAAAACCGUCGUAUCUUAGCUGAUACCGAGGGUUCGAAUCCCUCACCCUCCUCCA